GGAAUUGACGGGGAGCACCACAACGGGUGGAGCUUGCGGUUUAAUUGGAUUCAACGCCGGAAAUCUUACCGGGACCGACAGCAAUAUGAAGGCCAGGCUGAAGACUUUGCCGGAUUAGCUGAGAGGUGGUGCAUGGCCGUCGUCAGUUCGUACUGUGAAGCAUCCUGUUAAGUCAGGCAACGAGCGAGACCCACGCCCACAGUUGCCAGCGUACUCUCCGGAGUGACGGGUACACUGUGGGGACCGCCGCUGCUAAAGCGGAGGAAGGAAUGGGCAACGGUAGGUCAGUAUGCCCCGAAUAUCCCGGGCUACACGCGAGCUACAAUGGUUGGUACAAUGGGUAUCUACCCCGAAAGGGGACGGAAAUCUCCUAAAACCAAUCUUAGUUCGGAUUGAGGGCUGCAACUCGCCCUCAUGAAGCUGGAAUCCGUAGUAAUCGCGUUUCAACAGAACGCGGUGAAUACGUCCCUGCUCCUU
rnacentral:rRNA from 1 species